CAUAGAGUCCCUUUAAUGUAAUCCUCUUAAAAAACAAAAACAAAAAAAACAUAUUUUAUUUUCCUCUCAUGUCCUUUAAAAAAAAAAAAAUUAAAUAAAUCAUUCUAUACACUUUCUAUCAACUGUUCACAGUUGAAGUCUAAUGCAUGUUUCAUAAAUUCUCUCACAGUGCUACCUGCUGGUCAAACCGCAGGCGUACAGCAGCACAGAAGACUUGCAUUUUUCCUCUUGUCCAGUUUAUUUCACUUUGUUUGACACGGAGAGUAGAAAAUACGGUUAUGCACAUUCAGACAAACAGCUACAAAUUUCACAGAAUCAUGCACCUGCCAAAAUCCAACAUGCUGAACAGACCAGAGUGAGCCCCGAAACAGUUACAUGGCAGUUUACAACCUGAACAGCUGAUUGAGUGAGGAUUACAAAAUAAACAGUUAUAGCUACAUUAUCUUUAGUAUGAUCGACUUACUGUCAAGCUGGAGGAUUACAGGAAGGUUAUAGUUAGCAAAAAUGGUGAAGAAAAUGACAGAACACAGAGUUUUGUGCAUGCGUGGUGGUCUGUACAGAUGAUAACGUCAGCUAGCUAUUACACACAGUAGCAGGAACAUAGCUCAGGCUCAGUGUCAGAGAAAACAAACAAACAAUGUUAUAAAUCCUGGAAGCUCCACGGAGUAUUGCAUAUCUACAUUUAAGGAACAGUUUGACAUUUUGGGCAAUGCAUUUUCUUAGUUAACUGAUGACAGAUGAGAAGAUCAAUCUCUUAACAAUGUAGCUGGAGCCUGCAAAUAAUUAGCUUAGCUGUCAAGUAUAAAGGGUGUCUAUUAUGCUAAUUUGCAGCUCACUAGUACACUAGAGUGUUGCAAGAUUUAUGAUUUUUAGAAUCCUUAAUUAUCUCAUAGUGUUGGUUACGCACUCCCUGGAGGUCACGUCACCUCUCAUCCCCCUGCACGCUGAAAAGUGAAGGUAAUGCGGGGCCAGUGUAUUAUAAUGUGAAGCCAACAGCUCUGAUCCAAGCAACACUAUGUGACAAAACAGCUCAUCAAUGUCAAAUGAAAUAUUACAUACUAUAUUUUAACGUGAUUCAAAUGCAACAGGUUUUAUCAGUGACCUGUGUAAAGGUGCAAGAUUUGGGUGGAUUUUUUCUAAUGCUAAUCUUUUAAUUGUAACCUGUAAGGACGUUUCUGUUAUCUUAUUCAUUUGUUUACUUCAUAUUAGUUAAUAUGUCCAUCUGCAGGCCACCUCAGCGCUAACCAUAGACCGGACAACAUCACCCAUAUGUGUCUGAAUUCCUACUUUGAGCAUUUCUGUCAUCACCGUCUUGGUCUUUUGAAACUGGAGGUUAGGAGAGAGGAUUGGAUGUCAAUGUGAACGCAAACACUCAGUGGUUAACAACUUGUGAUUAACAAGUUAUUAGUCAAUGAGUAGAUCCUAAUAAUCCUUCCGAGACUUAAAAUGACCAUAAUUUACAAAACUGACUGAGUGUUUUAUCUGGUAUGAUCUGAUAUGAGGGGCUGAGCCCAUAAAGACAGCAGGAAAGUUUUUAGAGGCCAUGUCUGGGGGUCAUUUUCCCUUAGACUUCAAUAGAACUAGAAAUCGUCUUGGAACAGGGGUAUCCCAUAACCUCGUGUCGGUGUUGUUCCUGCAUCAUCUAGGAUCAACAUUGCAACUGACCAGUCAUGUUCUUGUGAUGUCAUAGCUUUACAACAUCAAGAAAAAAAACAACUUUUGGAUCAAAUGGUAAAAUUUUCAAGUGCUUUCCUUAUUAUUUAAUACCAUAUAAUAAAUGUAUUAUCAAGUUAGGUUUGCUGUUGCCAAAUGACUCGUGCUGGUUUACUAGUGACAGUUUUUAAUAGCAUUCACUAGCUUCUUGGCUAGUGCUAACUGAAUGCUCAGUUGCUAUGUUAAUCCUGGACCAACAAUAUUAUUAUCAUGUAUGAACAACACAACACAGAGACAUAGGAUUGAGAUCUUGCAACCACAUCUAUCGCCCCCUGGUGGCUAUUAAGACAAACUCUAGCUACAUGCAUUAUAUAGCACAUAGACAUUUUAUCAUUUCAUUAGCAAGAAAGUAAAGAAAUGCAUUUACAAAAAUGUCAAACCAUUCCUCAAAGGUCGUGAUAAUGAAAUUGUUAGAAAAGAGUUUAAAAAAAAAAAAGUAUAAACAUUUUUUUAAACAUGUACAUCAUCAAUCUUUAAUCACUGAGCGACUGACAUUUAAACUGAGUGAAAGUGCAAUAUUAAGUAAUAUUGGUGUCAACAGACCACAAGGCUACUGCUCCAUUGCAUCCUGCCACUUUCUACAGUACAGAACAGUGAACACACUCUUCAGCAUAUAAACAAGAAGUCAAACCGCAGCAUUGUCCUCUCAGGUUUACUUCAGCCCAAUCCAUUUUCCUCUGCAGUAUUAUCAACUUAGCGUUAGCAUAAAGCCAUUAACUGGCAGUACAAUCUAUUAGCACCACUACUUCUACAGACAUGCUACUCCCACUGUGAGCCAUUACUUCAGCACAUGUCAGUGGUCUUACAAAUUGCUUCAACUACUACAAAACUCACAAAGGAGCCUCGUCUAUUUUCUUCCUUUAUUUCAGUCCCCCAACCUAUAGUGUUUAGUAACUAAGACUGAAAAUAAAAUUAGCUUUACAAGAGCUACAAAUUGGCCUCUCUGCUUACCCCCGAUUCUGAAAAGCACCCUGCAAUCAAUCUGUUAUUCUAGUGCACAGCAGAGUCACGCUGGGUGUUCACAUUACAGCACUUCUCCAGUUGAAUUUGGAAGACUGUGCCCUGCUUGAAGGCAUAUCAGCAGUGACGGUACUACCCUCCAGCCACCAGCCCACUUUGGACAAACAGGUUCAUCAUGGUGGGAGCCUCACUCCAUCCUGCAAAUCUCCGUCUGCGGGCUGGAGUGUGCUGCAGGUUAGCUGUUCCUCUGCUCCGCCUCCCUCUGAGUCGAAGAGGAGGAGCUCUGGCUGUCCUCGGUGUCGUCUCCAUC
ensembl:lncRNA